UACGGAGGAUCCAAGCGUUAUCCGGAAUCAUUGGGUUUAAAGGGUCCGUAGGCGGUCUUAUAAGUCAGUGGUGAAAGCCCAUCGCUCAACGAUGGAACGGCCAUUGAUACUGUUAGACUUGAAUUAUUGGGAAGUAACUAGAAUAUGUAGUGUAGCGGUGAAAUGCUUAGAUAUUACAUGGAAUACCAAUUGCGAAGGCAGGUUACUAUCAAUAUAUUGACGCUGAUGGACGAAAGCGUGGGGAGCGAACAGG
rnacentral:rRNA from 1 species